AUGCUAGCCACGGCGGGCCGCCUCUCCCUUACACGAUCGGUGCUGAUGGCGCUGCCGAUCCAUUUUAUGGCUGUGCUACCACUCCCGAUGUGGGCCAUUAAAAUCAUCAACAGAAAAUGCAGAGGGUUCAUUUGGAAAGGAGAAGAGCAAGUUAGUGGGGGGCACUGCCUCAUGCCUUGGGCAAGGGUUUGC
rnacentral:rRNA from 1 species